rnacentral:rRNA from 1 species
GACGAACGCUGGCGGCGUGCUUAACACAUGCAAGUCGAACGGAAAGGCCCUGCUUUUGUGGGGUGCUCGAGUGGCGAACGGGUGAGUAACACGUGAGUAACCUGCCCUUGACUUUGGGAUAACUUCAGGAAACUGGGGCUAAUACCGGAUAGGAGCUCCUGCUGCAUGGUGGGGGUUGGAAAGUUUCGGCGGUUGGGGAUGGACUCGCGGCUUAUCAGCUUGUUGGUGGGGUAGUUGCUUACAAAGGCUUUGACGGGUAGCCGGCCUGAGAGGGUGACCGGCCACAAGGGGACUGAGAUACGGCCCAGACUCCUACGGGAGGCAGCAGUGGGGAAUAUUGCACAAUGGGCGGAAGCCUGAUGCAGCAACGCCGCGUGCGGGAUGACGGCUUUCGGGUUGUAAACCGCUUUCGCCUGUGACGAAGCGGGAGUGACGGUAAUGGGUAAAGAAGCACCGGCUAACUACGUG